rnacentral:rRNA from 1 species
AUUGAACGCUGGCGGCAGGCCUAACACAUGCAAGUCGAGCGGAUGAAGGGAGCUUGCUCCUGGAUUCAGCGGCGGACGGGUGAGUAAUGCCUAGGAAUCUGCCUGGUAGUGGGGGAUAACGUCCGGAAACGGGCGCUAAUACCGCAUACGUCCUGAGGGAGAAAGUGGGGGAUCUUCGGACCUCACGCUAUCAGAUGAGCCUAGGUCGGAUUAGCUAGUUGGUGGGGUAAAGGCCUACCAAGGCGACGAUCCGUAACUGGUCUGAGAGGAUGAUCAGUCACACUGGAACUGAGACACGGUCCAGACUCCUACGGGAGGCAGCAGUGGGGAAUAUUGGACAGUGGGCGAAAGCAUGAUCCAGCCAGGCCGCGUGUGUGAAGAAGGUCUUCGGAUUGUAAAGCACUUUAAGUUGGGAGAAAGGGCAGUAAGUUAAUACCUUGCUGUUUUGACGUUACCAACAGAAUAAGCACCGGCUAACUUCGUG